GACGAACGCUGGCGGCGUGCCUAAUACAUGCAAGUCGAACGCUGAAGGAGGAGCUUGCUCUUCUGGAUGAGUUGCGAACGGGUGAGUAACGCGUAGGUAACCUGCCUGGUAGCGGGGGAUAACUAUUGGAAACGAUAGCUAAUACCGCAUAACAGUAGAUGUUGCAUGACAUUUACUUAAAAGGUGCAAUUGAAUCACUACCAGAUGGACCUGCGUUGUAUUAGCUAGUUGGUGGGGUAACGGCUCACCAAGGCGACGAUACAUAGCCGACCUGAGAGGGUGAUCGGCCACACUGGGACUGAGACACGGCCCAGACUCCUACGGGAGGCAGCAGUAGGGAAUCUUCGGCAAUGGACGGAAGUCUGACCGAGCAACGCCGCGUGAGUGAAGAAGGUUGUCGGAUCGUAAAGCUCUGUUGUAAGAGAAGAACGAGUGUGAGAGUGGAAAGUUCACACUGUGACGGUAGCUUACCAGAAAGGGACGGCUAACUACGUG
rnacentral:rRNA from 1 species